CGAAGUCGCCAUUGCUUGUUGUUCUUGAAAAUGUAAAACGUAUUUUCUGUGUGCCCUGUAGUUCCCCCCAAGAUGUUAGUAAGCUUAUAAUGAUUAUAUUUUGAAACGUUUUAUUGCUUGGUAAUCAAAGAAGUGGUUGCUGUGGAAAUUCAGGAACUUGGCGGUCAAAGUAAAUUGCUUGGUAAUCAAAGAAGUGGUUGCUGUGGAAAUUCAGGAACUUGGCGGUCAAAGUAACCAACUUCUCAACAGUGUAACCUGGAAAUAAAAGUGGGUGUCGAAAUUCAGGAACUUAACGGUCAAAAAUUUCCAGAAAGGUUUUAUUGCUUGGUCAUCAAAGAAGUGGUUGUUGUCGAAAUUCAGCAAUUUAACGGUCAAAGUAACCGAAUUCCCAACAGCGUAACCUUGCCAUGUACAAAAGUUCCACAGAAAGGUUGUUUAUAUUUUAAUUGUAGUAAUCGGCCAGGUUUUCAUGCUGUGAUUAUAUUGCAUGGGCAGCAUGAUGUUUCUCUAGCCACGUCAAAACACACAUCUUACAGAACCAUGUGUAAUAUUAUAGAACUCUAAUCAUUUCCCUCAAGAAUCGAUACCCAAGGUUUUUUGGGGAAUCAAAAUGAAAAGUUGCACGCACACGUUAUUCUGUUAUGUAAAUGAUAGUCUGUGUUUUGUGAUGAUGAAUAACAGAGGUUAUAGAAACUUGACGAGAAUUUUAUUUUUCAAAUAAAUAAUCUUCACAUACAUAUUAAAGUAUCCAUUAUGG